GCCCGGCUAAAAGAUGGCUGCUGGCGCCUGGCAGCCACCGCCUGGGAGGUUACUGUAAGGCCCGCAGCUCCCGCCAGCUCCCGCGGACUGCUGCCGCCUCCUUACCAUGAAGCCAGUAAGUCGUCGCACGCUGGACUGGAUUUAUUCAGUGGUUCCAGGUCCAGAAGAGGAGCCUGCUCUCCCUGUUACUGUAGGGGUUGAUGGAGUAUCUUGACAAGCAGCCGUCCAUGUCGAAGGGACCCUGGCAGGAGAACUAGCCUUCCGGUGUGCAGAGACGGCUGCCACCCUUGGCUCCUCUGUUGUAUAGCUGCCGUCGUACUGCACAGACUGGAGCUUCUGGCACAUGGAGCGGAGGACCCGCAGGAAUUCCUCCUGAGCCUCUGCACCCACCAUGGAGGAGCAGGAGCUCACCUCUCUCAGGUAACUCCGGAUCCGGCUUUCACAGCUGUAUCUCAGAUAGCCAGACUUAUUCCAAAAUCGGGACUCCAAGCCUUCAAACCACAGCGGGUCCUCAGCCCGGGUGUCGGCUGCGACGUUCUGGCUGACGUUGUACAGGAGGUCGGCCAGCAGUCUCUGCCUCUGUGGGGGCCUGCUCAUCACACAGUAGCUGCCGGGCGGCCUGGAUGAGCCACGCGUGCGGCUGGCGAAAAGCACUGAGGAAGCACCCGAUGUCACUCACAUAGCCCUGCCAGGCCUGGCGUGAGGUGAGCAGCACCAGCUCGGCAUCGUCGAGGACGCUUCGGUCAGCUCCAUGCCAUCCUCGUAC
rnacentral:lncRNA from 1 species